GAGGGGAUAGCUCAGUGGUAGAGCGUGUGCUCAGCAUGCACGAGGUCCGGGGUUCCAUCCCCAGCACCUCC
rnacentral:tRNA from 1 species